rnacentral:rRNA from 1 species
UACGGAGGAUCCAAGCGUUAUCCGGAUUUAUUGGGUUUAAAGGGUGCGUAGGCGGUUUGAUAAGUUAGAGGUGAAAUCCCGUGGCUCAACCACGGAACUGCCUCUAAUACUGUCGAGCUAGAGAAUAGUUGCUGUUGGCGGAAUGUGUGGUGUAGCGGUGAAAUGCUUAGAUAUCACACAGAACACCGAUUGCGAAGGCAGCUGACAAAGCUAUUUCUGACGCUCAGGCACGAAAGCGUGGGGAUCAAACAGG